rnacentral:rRNA from 1 species
AAACUUUCAACAACGGAUCUCUUGGUUCUGGCAUCGAUGAAGAACGCAGCGAAAUGCGAUAAGUAAUGUGAAUUGCAGAAUUCAGUGAAUCAUCGAAUCUUUGAACGCACAUUGCGCCCCUUGGUAUUCCGAGGGGCAUGCCCGUUCGAGCGUCAUUU